rnacentral:lncRNA from 1 species
GUCUGAGGUUACAACAUUAGAUAACUGAUGCUUUAAAAUGCCUUUCACUUACAGUAACUUAUCUUUCUUUCCAGGAUUCACUUAAUGAGCUGCAAACUCAGGAUGAGCAGGCGGAGAGCCUGCUGGAGGAUCUGUGUAUUAUGGCUUCCAUAGUGAGUUCAUCCAGCCUAGAGAGUCUGACUGUGGACGCGCAGCAGCUGCAGAAUAAAGUCAGAAACACCCAUCAGCUCUUCUCAGAGGUGGAAGACCGGACUCAGAGAAAUAUCCAGUCUCUGGACAGGCUGCAAAGUGAGUGUGAGCAUUUGGACCAAUGGUUGCAAACCGUUGAGGAUAAAGCAGCGAAGGAGGAGGAUCUUAAUCUCCUGCAAGAGGAGGUGCUUCAACAAAGGGGGAGGACAGAGGCCCUCAGUCAGCUUGUGUCAUCCUUACAGAGCAGCACACUCCAGCAGUCUCCUCUGGUGGCAGAGAGCAGCAAACUGCUCGAACGAUACAACAACUUUCAAACAAAUGUUCUGUGUGGCUCCAGUGAAAAGCAGAGCUCUCCAAGCAGAGAUGUCAAAGUGUUUCAGACUCUGUCCAUGUCAAUUCAGUCCUGCGGUGGACAUCUGGGACAAGUUGUUGACUCCCCGCUUGGUGAAGACCUCGGCCUCCAGAGUCCCGUGGCGCAGAGACUCCACAGUGCACAAGGUGUGUGUUCCCGCCUCGAGGAAGGUGUGAGUAAUGAGGAACAUUUUGGCCAGUUGCUGCAGGACUGCCACCACAAACUGACUUCCCUGCAGGAAAGGAUGUCAGCCUGUCAAGCUCAGACAGAAAGCUCAGCUGGACUGAUCACAGCUCUGGAGGUGAGGUCCCUUAAAUAAACUGAUGCAGUUAAUCAUGUACAAGCUCCCUUACAUUUCCACUCACCAUAAUAAAAGACAUUUUUAGGAGGCCACCUAUAUUGUAUUUCUGUUUAUCUCUCACUUUUUCACCUUACAGGCUUUGCUUAAAGAAGUUGCAGACGUAGAUAAAGAACUUUUACAGAUUGAAACACUGAAGAACUCGGUCACAGCCAGUUCCACAGCCGAGGCCCAGGCCAGCUUCUCCCAGCAGGUUGACAACCUCCAAAACCACAAGAGGGCGCUAGACAGCAGCAUCAGAGAUAAUCUGGCGCUGCUCAGAGACAACGGCAAUCAGAGAGCUCACCAAGUGGAGGAAGAGGUCUCCUGUGUACAGACUGCACUGAAAGACCUGGCUGAAAAUGUUUCAAAUCUAUGUGAGAGCUGUGGAGCGUUGCCUGAUAUCAGCCAGCUCAAAGUGCAGUGGAACACAAUACAGGUAUUGUGAAAAGAUCCGUCAAAAUGUUGCUUUUCUCUGAGUAAAAGUAUAACAAGUUCACAGACUUAUCCACACACUCACAGUGUCAUCGGAGGAGCAUUUAUCUCUCUCUCUCUCUCUCUCUCUCUCUCUCUCUCUCUCUCUCUCUCUCUCUCUCUCUCUCUCUCUCUCUCCCUCCCUCUCUCUCUCUCUCAGGACUGUGAUACCAGGCUGACAGAGUUGGCUACAAGCGUUUCCGGCCUGCUGAAAACUGGAGACUUGAGCAUCACACAAGAAACACUUCCCGCAAAGGUCAAUUUGUCUGUUGAAGCAGUUGCUAAAGACCUUGACAGGUAUUUAACCUUGUUUCAAAACAAAUAAGUCACAUUCUUCACAUUGAGAUACUAAAUAAAAAGCUUUUGGAACCAGUUGGUCAACACUACGACAA